rnacentral:rRNA from 1 species
AAGCCCCGGCUAACUUCGUGCCAGCAGCCGCGGUAAUACAGAGGGUGCAAGCGUUAACCGGAUUUACUGGGCGUAAAGCGCGCGUAGGUGGCCAAUUAAGUCAAAUGUGAAAUCCCCGAGCUUAACUUGGGAAUUGCAUUCGAUACUGGUUGGCUAGAGUAUGGGAGAGGAUGGUAGAAUUCCAGGUGUAGCGGUGAAAUGCGUAGAGAUCUGGAGGAAUACCGAUGGCGAAGGCAGCCAUCUGGCCUAAUACUGACACUGAGGUGCGAAAGCAUGGGGAGCAAACAGGAUUAGAUACCCUGGUAGUCCAUGCCGUAAACGAUGUCUACUAGCCGUUGGGGCCUUUGAGGCUUUAGUGGCGCAGCUAACGCGAUAAGUAGACCGCCUGGGGAGUACGGUCGCAAGACUAAAACUCAAAUGAAUUGACGGGGGCCCGCACAGGCGGUGGAGCAUGUGGUUUAAUUCGAUGCAACGCGAAGAACCUUACCUGGUCUUGACAUAGUAAGAACUUUCCAGAGAUGGAUUGGUGCCUUCGGGAACUUACAUACAGGUGCU